UUUUGUAUUAUAAUAAAAUAUGGCUGUUAAGUGAUAUAUAAGCACGACAUAAAGAAAAUCAACAGAUGUGAAGUUAAAAGUGGCAAUAAGUUUCGCUGUUUAUUUCACAGAGUCAAAUAGAGUGGAAGAAUUUGCUCACUCUACGUCUAGUGUUAAGGCAGCCCUCUCCAAUAUGGCGCACAUUUCAUGUUGAGGAGCUGAAUGUUUACCAUAACUUGCCACGUCGUGUUCCUCGUCCACUUCAACAUUCUCACCGUAUUGCUGAUCUAGUUCAAUGUCAGCAGUAUGACAGAUUGCUGACACUGGUUCGUCACCAGACAAUGUCAGCACUUCAGUGGAUGCCUGAAACGAAAGACUCCUCUACCAUGAAAGAUAACACUGGUCCUUAUGGCUAUGAAUUCUUCUGUUUACCACAAAUUUAACAGAAGAAAUUAUUACUGCAGGAGAAUGUAACAGUUGAAAUAUUCAAUAAAUCAAGAAUAAAUCUGCAAAAAUAAUAUCAUUAUCAAAACAGAGGAAGUUGUUUGGCCAAUUCUGCAAAACAGCCAGAAGUAUUAUACAAGAUAUGUAAGAUAAUUCUUGAUUGCAUUCAAAGUGUUCAUCUUGUAGUAUAUGUACUGGAUAUCUUUAUGGCAUAUUCUUGAUAAUUGCACACAGUUCCACACAUGCACAUCUGUUGGGAGAGUAAUGUUUGUUGGAAGGGAAUGUGUUACAAAUGUGUGAUUGUCAGUUAUUCCUUCAUCUUCAUUCUAAAUUUUAUAUGCAUAUGUGGUCCCAAUUCAUAGGAAUACUACCUUACCUUCCUGAAUGGAGUAGCCACUGAUGUAAAAUAAUUCAUUAAUAGGUAUUACAACAGCUGUAUAAUGAAUCUGUGAAAUAGUACAGCCAUUAACAAAACAAAGUAAAGUAAAUACAAACCACUCCGUC